AAAAAUAAAAUUAAAAAAAAAAAAGGUGAGAGGGCUUCAAUAGAAACUCGGCCAAAGUUGGAGGACUUCUUGUGUAGUUAUUCUUUCAUGUUUCAUACUCAAUUGAUGUAGGGUUUUCUUCCUCACUGGCAUUACUAGAUAUAGACAGGUAAUGAAAUAGUAAAAUAAGAAUGUAUCAGUCAGAUGUACCAAUUAUAUGUUUGUCCUGAUUUUUACUUUAGAAAGGGAAAAAGAAAGAUUUUAGAAAAUUACAAACACAGUAAAUGAAUAUAUCACGUGGAACCUAGGAUUGGUGUGGUUGGAGAUGAAUUGGAAGUCCUUGGGAUGGUGCCAGCUUGGGUUCAUAUCCAAAUUUCUCAUUAGGUAUCAGUACAUCCCAUUUGAAUAUUCUCACAAUGUUAUGCAAGAAAAAAAGUAUCUCUAGGCGUGCAAACUCAUGCCCCAAGCACAUCCUUGGCCCCCCUCCAAAGGGAACAUAUGAAUGAGUAGAUUCUUCUGCAAACCUUGAAGCAUCAAAACCUUCUGGAUUUGGAAAAAGAGCUGG
rnacentral:misc_RNA from 1 species